rnacentral:rRNA from 1 species
AUAGCGAACAAGUCCCGUGAGGGAAAGUUGAAAAGACCUUUGAAGAGAGAGUUCCACAGUACGUGAAACCGUUCAGGGGUAAACCUGAGAAACCCGAAAGGUAGAAAGGGGAGAUUCAACGCGUUUCGGUACUCGCGAGCUGGGGGUUUGCGUGGGUGAGCCCCCCGCUCGCCCGGCGUUUGAGCUGGCCCGGCGUCAAGAACGAUCGGGUAUCGAACGCGUGCACUUCUCCUCCUGUAGGACGUCGUGACCCGUUGGGCGCCGGCCUAAGGCCCGCGGUGGAGCCCGGACGCCUUCCGUGUGCGUCCGGACCCGCGGUGUCCCGGCCGGUACGACCGACGGUAUAACUAUGGCGCGGGGCCGCGGCAUUAAGUUCGCGUCCGGCGCGUCGCAAGCGCG